GACGAACGCUGGCGGCGUGGAUUAGGCAUGCAAGUCGAACGGUAUCAUCCUUUCGGGGGUGAGAGAGUGGCGAACUGGUGAGUAACACGUAGGUUAUCUACCCUCAAGACGGGGACAACCCAGGGAAACUUGGGCUAAUACCGGAUGUGAGCAACUUUUAGUUGUUUGAAAGGUGGCGUAAGCUGUCGCUUGGGGAUGAGCCUGCGUCCUAUUAGUUAGUUGGUGAGGUAACGGCUCACCUAGGCAAUGAUAGGUAGGCGGCCUUAACGGGUGGUCGCCCACACUGGGAUUGAGAUACGGCCCAGACUCCUACGGGAGGCAGCAGUCGAGAAUAGUCUACAAUGGUCGGAAGACUGAUAGUGCGACGCCGCGUGAACGAUGAAUCCCUUCGGGGUGUAAGUUCUUUUAUAUGUGAGCAGUGCUUCUUAUAUUAACAGUAUGGGGAGAGAGAUAUUAGCAUAUGAAUAGCAACGGUAACUCGUGCCAGCAGCCCGGU
rnacentral:rRNA from 1 species